rnacentral:rRNA from 1 species
GAUCCUGGCUCAGAAUCAACGCUGGCGGCGUGCCUAACACAUGCAAGUCGCACGAGAAAGCGGGCUUCGGCCUGCAAGUACAGUGGCGCACGGGUGAGUAACACGUGAAUUAUCUACCUCCGAGUGGGGAAUAACCUAGAGAAAUCUGGGCUAAUACCGCAUAACACUUACGAGUCAAAGCAGCAAUGCGCUUGGAGAGGAGUUCGCGGCAGAUUAGUUAGUUGGCAGGGUAAUGGCCUACCAAGACGAUGAUCUGUAUCCGGCCUGAGAGGGCGCACGGACACACUGGAACUGAAACACGGUCCAGACUCCUACGGGAGGCAGCAGUGGGGAAUUUUGCGCAAUGGGGGAAACCCUGACGCAGCAACGCCGCGUGGAGGAUGAAAUCCCUUGGGAUGUAAACUCCUUUCGAUCGGGACGAUUAUGACGGUACCGGAAGAAGAAGCCCCGGCUAACUUCGUGCCAGCAGCCGCGGUAAUACGAGGGGGGCAAGCGUUGUUCGGAAUUAUUGGGCGUAAAGGGCGCGUAGGCGGCUUGACAAGUCUGAUGUGAAAUCUCUGGGCUCAACCCAGAGUCUGCAUUAGAAACUGUCGGGCUUGAGUAUGGGAGAGGUGAGUGGAAUUUCCGGUGUAGCGGUGAAAUGCGUAGAUAUCGGAAGGAACACCUGUGGCGAAAGCGGCUCACUGGACC